UUUGUUUAGGGUUCAGAGCAGCGUAGUGCAGUUCAUCUGAACUGGACCUUCAUCUGUUACUUAUACUCUUCCUACAGAAACUGUUCACACCUCCUCAAAGAACACAACUAUGCAGCAGCCAGUCUGGUGCAGACACAUUAGAUGAGAGCGUUUCACAGAAACGAAAGUGAAAGGGAAACUUUGCUUGGGUGGGAUCUCAGAUGUUCUCAGUUAUAUAAUUUAUUAUGUAACAUUUUAAAUACAAAAGAUCAUGUUUGGCCUCUUGGUUAUACUUAUGUUAAAUCUAUGCAAUGCUUUUGAUUGUUUUGUACAAAAUUCCAUUUGUUCACAUUCAUAAACUACAUAAAUUAACAUUAAUCCUAGUCCAAAAUUUACUACAAUAUUAAAAUAAAGAGUUGUACUUUGAGUUGUAUAGUUGUUUGUUAACAAAUAUUAAUAAAUACUGUAACAAAUGUAUUUCUCAUUGUUAAUUAAUGGGACCUUGUUGUAAAGUGUAAACAUACUUUCUUAUAUAUACUUUGUUUCUCCACUGAUUUUCUUUUUCUAUUUUUUUUUUCCUACAGUGUCUAAACAGUCUUGUAGUGGCCUAGUGUAAGAAGUGAUAUAGUUAAUAAAUUCAUCAUCAAACACUGGAAGAUAAACAAAAAUAAACACAGUACAAUAAGAAUUUUUGUUGCAGAUUUUACUAUUUUUAUUUAGAUUUUUUUAAACAUUUUUUCCGGGGCUUUUUGUUUUAUCAGCUGGGCCCCGGACCAACCGAACCAAGCAAUGCAGAAACCAAAGGUUUCACCAAAAAUUCGCUUCUUCACUUUACUUUACAUUUGUAGCAGUAUUCAUUGGUCAGCAACGUGUUAAAGAGAUUUCUUGGUUCAGUUUUGGCAUUACAUUCAUUGGUUUUUUUCUGGUCGGUUCUUGGCUUCAUGCGCGGAUCGUCAGGCGUCACAGCGGUGUUAGGCUUCGCAGACUGCGCAGGCCUCUGCACAUCUGGGCACCAGCACAAAACAAAGAUAGAGACUCAUGCAAAUGAGUUUCCCCUCUGAAUGACGCUGUGCCAGAUGACCCCGCCCCUGGCAGCAAGGAUUUACAUGACCUCCGCCUCCUUCAUGAUGCUAGAACAAAGAAGAAAACCCUUCAGCUACAGGAAAUGCAGAUGGUGUCAAAUAUCAAUUAUAUAACAACUGUAUAACCAUAUAACUUAUUAUAUUACAAUAUUACCGAAUAAUGCGUUUGAACGAAAUCAUUGGAUAUAACACUGUAAGGUUUAUGUUUACAGUAGUACCCAGUCAUAAAAACAUCUGAUAUACUCACACAUUAGUGCUCCAAGACCAGUCAGGUUUCCACAGCAUCUCCCACAGAGGAAACACCGUAGACCUGUAAAGAUGAUUCAGUUUCCAGGUUACACAUCGACAUAAACACCAAAAUAAAAUUUGCAUGUCAAAAUUUGCUAAUCAUUUAAUUGCAAUGAUUGAAAACACUUUAUGUAAUCUUUAAGGAAACACAUUUUUGUAAUAAAGUAAUAAUUACGGGAAAUUUUCUCUAUAACUAGUUGUCUUACCUUGUUGAUCUGGCAGCAGAAGGAUCUGGUCACGGAAAGGACAGAUCAGUGUGUCUCUCUGUAAUUUAUACUAGGUUACCGCCC
ensembl:lncRNA